rnacentral:rRNA from 1 species
UACGUAGGGGGCGAGCGUUGUCCGGAUUUAUUGGGCGUAAAGAGCUCGUAGGCGGCUUGGCAAGUCGGGUGUGAAACCUCCAGGCUCAACCUGGAGACGCCACUCGAUACUGCCAUGGCUAGAGUCCGGUAGGGGACCACGGAAUUCCUGGUGUAGAGGUGGAAUUCGUAGAUAUUAGGAAGAACACCAGUGGCGAAGGCGGCUCACUGGUCCGGUACUGACGCUGAGGUGCGAAAGCGUGGGGAGCAAACAGG